UACGGAGGGAGCUAGCGUUGUUCGGAAUUACUGGGCGUAAAGGGCGCGUAGGCGGUGGUGUAAGUCAGAUGUGUAAACCAUCGGCUUAACCGAUUGGAUUGCAUUUGAUACUGCAUCACUUGAGUUCAGUAGAGGAGAGUGGAAUUCCCAGUGUAGCGGUGGAAUGCGUAGAUAUUGGGAAGAACACCAGUGGCGAAGGCGGCUCUCUGGACUGACACUGACGCUGAGGCGCGAAAGCUAGGGGAGCGAACAGGAUUAGAAACCCCAGUAGUCC
rnacentral:rRNA from 1 species